GACGAACGCUGGCGGCGUGCUUAACACAUGCAAGUCGAACGAUGACAACCGAGCUUGCUCGGUCUGAUUAGUGGCGAACGGGUGAGUAACACGUGAGCAACCUGCCCUUCACUCUGGGAUAACCUCGGGAAAUCGGGGCUAAUACCGGAUAUGAGCUCCUGUCGCAUGGCGGGUGUUGGAAAGUUUUUCGGUGAAGGAUGGGCUCGCGGCCUAUCAGUUUGUUGGUGAGGUAGUGGCUCACCAAGGCGAUGACGGGUAGCCGGCCUGAGAGGGCGACCGGCCACACUGGGACUGAGACACGGCCCAGACUCCUACGGGAGGCAGCAGUGGGGAAUAUUGCACAGUGGGCGAAAGCCUGAUGCAGCGACGCCGCGUGAGGGAUGACGGCCUUCGGGUUGUAAACCUCUUUCAGCAGGGAAGAAGCGAAAGUGACGGUACCUGCAGAAGAAGCGCCGGCUAACUACGUG
rnacentral:rRNA from 1 species